rnacentral:rRNA from 1 species
UACGAAGGGGGCUAGCGUUGCUCGGAAUCACUGGGCGUAAAGCGCACGUAGGUGGGUCGUUAAGUCAGGGGUGAAAUCCUGGAGCUCAACUCCAGAACUGCCUUUGAUACUGGCGAUCUUCGAGUCCGGGAGAGGUGAGUGGAACUGCGAGUGUAGAGGUGAAAAUUCGUAGAUAUUCGCAAGAACACCAGUGGCGAAGGCGGCUCACUGGCCCGAUACUGACGCUGAGGUGCGAAAGCGUGGGGAGCAAACAGG